ensembl:lncRNA
UGGGGUAUUUGAACCUGCGUAAAAUUAUUUUUUAUACUUAAUUAGAGGCAUCAAGUGGGAGAAAAUUAGGUAAAAGAUAAUUGUGAUAAUAUAAUGAAUAUGCUCAUAUUUCUCAACUGUCUCAUUUACAGUAAUUGAGAGUCUGGCUGUGUUUUCACUCAGGACUCGGGGAGGAAUCUGACCAUCCAAAUAAGUCUGUCCAUGAAGGAGGAUGACCAACUCCUUGUUCAGCUGAUCACAGAACCAGAGCUUCUAGAGGUUGGUCUCCUGUUAGAUUGUGUGUGUGUGUGUGUGUGUGUGUGUGUGUGUGUGUGUGUGUGUGUGUGUGUGUGUGUGUGUGUGAGAGAGAGAGAGAGAGAGAGUAUGACCAUUAAUUUUCAGCCCAUUUGCUUUUGGAGAACACUUAAAUCAGUAAAUGUUGUUGUAACUUGUUGGUGUAAUGUACUAAAAAUACUUUUUAAUUAUUGCAGAAGCUGGAUGUCUUCUGUGGUCAGCUGAUUGGCAUCACUUUAUUAGAUUAUAAAAAGAAUCCUGUGGACAUUUCAGUCAACUUUACAAUUUCCACCCAUGAGUGUCCUUCAGCUCUCCUACAGGUGAGCCCCCAUCCCCGGUCCAGAGAGCCUUGUGUACAAUAGUCUGCAGCUUGCUAAUCAGUAAUAAUCAGUCAUCUGUACAGUUUCAUCAAAAGAAUGAUGAUGAUGUUGUUGUUGCUGCUAUGCAGAUUUAAAGUGCUUUGUGUUUUCUUCAGUCAGGAAACAUACCAGAAUGUCGGUUCUAUAAUAUCUCCACCAAAGGUACCUCCUCCUCCUCCUCCUCCUCCUCCUCCUCCUCCUUCUUCUUCUUCUUCUUCUUCUUCUUCUUCUUCUUAUUACUGUCUUUGUAUUUUUUUAAAUACUCAGCUUUCGUCCCUGCCAUCUCAAGUGCUGUCCUGCAGGUGUUACUUAUCGGAUCCCAUAGUGAAGAUUGUGUCCAGCAUGACACUCUUCAGCCUGGUCUUCCUGUUCAACCUGGCCAUGCUGCUGGUGACCACGCUGCGCAUCACCUCCAUGCAUCUCAACUGCAGACCUGAGGCGAAGGGCAGCAUCCGGAAGGUGGCCUGCAACGUCCUCGCCAUCACUUGUCUGCUGGGUACCACCUGGGGCCUCAUCUUUUUCUCCUUUGGACACCUGCCCACACCUGGCCUCUACCUAUUCUGCAUCCUCAACUUUGUUCAAGGUUUUUUCCUCUUUCUCUGGUUCUGUGCCAUGAAGGUGAAGACCAUCAGAUCCCCCAGCUCUAACCUCACUUUGCACUCCUCAGUGCAGAAGCCAUAGGUUGGUGUGUUAAGACCCUCUCAUGUGUACCUGCCUCCAUUACUGUGGAGUAUAAAUGUUGUGAGAUAAGUUUUGAUGUUUGUACGUGCCUUUAAUCUUAUUUCUUGUUUUUUGUGGGAUCUAGUGGCCCUUCAGCUGUACAGAUCCUGAUCAGCCUCUAUAUGGCAUAUGGAAAAUGGCCCCAUUCCCACUCUCUCUAUCAUCACCCCGGUGUACAGAAUGAGCAUCUGGCUGAAAUGGCAACACCUGACUCAUCAGCCACCUCCCUAAGCAGUAGAGACACAAAUCAAUGUGUCCUAACUGCCUUGUUUUGCCAAAGUGUCCUUCUUUAUCUGAACCCAGUCUGCCAUCCUGAUCCUGUUCUUUAGUUCUCCUGUAUUUUGGAAGAAUAUAUCAAAGCAGCCAAACUCUGUGUUUUUGCACAUUACUCGACCAAGGGUCAAACUGGGCUCAUAGUGUAAAUACACAACAUGAACUUUAAAGUAAUUAUCAGUAACAGGAGUUCAUGUUGUGUAUUUACACUAUGAGCCCAGUUUGACAACAAACUGGAGGUGCAGGUCGGAGCACUUCUAUUCAAUUGGAGAGGAGGGCUAAGCAAAAAGAGCACUGAGUUCCUAAAUGGACAACUAGGUUUAGCAAAGGAGCACGUGUACCUCCUUGGAGUGAAAGCUCUAGAGGGAAGUGUCGUAAUGGUAGACACCUUUAACCGACAAAAAACAAAGAGCAGGACCAAGGAUGAGAGGGCACAGAAAGCAUAUAAAGACCAAUGAUGGUGAUGACCCAAACCCUCUGGGAAGUCAUUACCGGAAGGAAGAAGGGCUUGUCUAAAUUUUUUUGCAUGCUGACUGUGCAUUGUACAGUCAUAAUUUUGUACAAUCAGGCUGGAGUUUUAGUCGGUUAAAGUCCGACAGUACCCGGGCUACUUUUUCCAGGUUUCCUUGAAGAUUUCCCCAGCCUUGGCUUGGCCAAAAAAAGAAAAAAAACUAUCAGUAACAGGAGAUUUUAUUGAAGCAGUCCUAGUGCUGAUGGUCUAUGCUCCAUUGAUAGCAAAUAUAUAAUUUUAAACCAAGAAUAAUAACCAGUAUAAACCAAGAAUAUGGUCAGCCAAAACCUAAUCUUCAAUAACAAAAAAGACCCUGAGCAAAAAUAUACUCUAUGACCCCACUGUGGUGGUAAGCACUAGGCAUGGAAGCAGCGGUGUGCUCUAAAAGGUUUCAUGACUGGAGGUGGCUGGGUGCUGUGCUUUUAUGCUCCUGUGCCCUGAUCGCCUGCAGGUACAAUUGCUCCCUGGGGGCAUGACACAAGUGAUGGUUUAGUUGAUUUAUACACAUGUACACCGUCUGAAGCCACGUCCCAUGCAGAGUCGCGGGAAGCCGGAGCCUAACCCGGCAACACAGGGUACAAGGCUAGAGGGGACACAUCCAGGACAGGAUGCCAGCCCAUCACAAAGCACCCCAAGCGGGAUUCAAACCCCAGACCCACUGGAGAGCAAGACCCAGUUAAACCCACUGUGUCACUGCACCCCCCGUGUUAGAUGAUUUAUUGAAACUUUAACUUGACAACCUCUAUCUCAUUUCCAUCGAGAAAAAAGUACAAUUAAAUAUAGGACAUUCACAACAAUAUAUUACACGUAUGAACUUUAUGCCUCUUCAGAGGGUCUCUAAAUCCUUAUAGUUAAUAAAUUCCUUUGUUCUUGGAGGAUGCA